rnacentral:rRNA from 1 species
GCGGUAUGCCUUACACAUGCAAGUCGUACGAGAGUUUUUAACUCAAGUGGCGGACGGGUGAGUAAUAUAUAGGUAACGUGCCUUCGAGAAGGGGAUAACAAUUGGAAACGAUUGCUAAUACCCUAUAUGCCUUUAAGUCCUAAGACUGCAAGGGAAAUAUUUAUAGCUCGAAGAUCGGCCUGUACAGUAUCAGUUAGUUGGUGAGGUAAUGGCUCACCAAGACAAUGACGCUUAACUGGUUUGAGAGGAUGAUC